AACGAACGCUGGCGGCAAGCCUAACACAGGCAAGUCGAGCGAAGCCGUCGGGCUUAGCGGCGGACGGGUGAGUAACGCGUGGGAACUUGCCCUUUGGUACGGAAUAGCCGCGGGCAACUGGGAGUAAUACCGGAUGCGGUCUAGAGGCGACAGAUUCAUCGCCAAAGGCUCCGCGCGUGUUGGAUUAGGUAGUUGGUGGGGUAAUGGCCUACCAAGCCGACGAUCCAUAGCUGGUUUGAGAGGAUGAUCAGCCACACUGGGACUGAGACACGGCCCAGACUCCUACGGGAGGCAGCAGUGGGGGAUCUUAGACAAUGGGGGAAACCCUGAUGUAGCCAUGCCGCGUGAUCGAUGAAGGCCUUAGGGUUGUAAAGAUCUUUCAGUGGGGAAGAUAAUGACUGUACCCACAGAAGAAGCCCCGGCUAACUCCGUGCCAGCAGCCGCCGUAAUAC
rnacentral:rRNA from 1 species